CCCCCCACUCCCUCCUUCCCCUGGCUUUCCUCUUGUUCGCUGCGACUUCGAAUGUCACAGAAAGAAAAGGGGAAAGGAAAAAAAACAAAAAAACCAAGGAAGAAAAGAGAGCGAGGAAGAGGGAGCCCAUAUGUUUACUCCAGUAAGAAAGGCAAGGGGGCAGUUGUGACAAAUCCCUGAAAAUGGAGGAGCGCCGUCUACCAUAUAAGGCUCUCCGCUCUUUCCAAAAUGCCAAAGAAGCAGAAGGAGACUCCUUGCGCUGUCCUUUUAAUGUCACCACUGGAUCAAAGGCUGAAAGCUGAGUCCUGGGUUUUCCAAAGAGCUCAAACCCAAGAUGUGCCAACACUAAGCAAAUCAAUGCUCCUCAUAAGACCCCCUUACAUUUCAGAAGUGCCCUAGACAGUAUUUCAAUUUUCUUUUCUGCCCUGAACACGUUACAAAUUAUCAGCAGUUAGACCUGUGGAAUUCAAUUUGGGGUUGUCAAAGCACAAGGAUGAGAGGAUUGGACUAGCUGUCCCUGUAAUUGCCCCCCCUCUUUUCUGAUUGAUGGACUGCUUCUUCCACUUCUUCCACAGCUCAACACAUCUAUAGUAAGUUGGGGACUGCUUAUUGCAAGGCAGAUCGAUGGGGGGGGGGUAGAGUAGUAUUCACGGCAGGGCAAACCGUAUUAUAGCCGCACUUCCAAAGAGCAGCUGGUGUUACAGGGGUUAACAUUAAAAUAUUUCCUUCAUUGCAUAAGUUUCUGGGGUUUUUUUUAAAAUCCAUUUUUGCCUCUCAUCCCAGCAGAAGCUGCCACCUGUUUCUGCUUCUGUAUGGGGGGGGUCCCCCAAAAUAAACUUCCAUUUAGAUUUA